rnacentral:rRNA from 1 species
AUUGAACGCUGGCGGCAUGCUUUACACAUGCAAGUCGAACGGUAACAGGCCGCAAGGUGCUGACGAGUGGCGAACGGGUGAGUAAUGCAUCGGAACGUGCCCAGUCGUGGGGGAUAACGCAGCGAAAGCUUCGCUAAUACCGCAUACGAUCUACGGAUGAAAGCAGGGGACCGCAAGGCCUUGCGCGAACGGAGCGGCCGAUGGCAGAUUAGGUAGUGGGUGGGAUAAAAGCUUACCAAGCCGACGAUCUGUAGCUGGUCUGAGAGGACGGCCAACCACACUGGGAAUGAGCGACGGCCCAGACUCCUACGGGAGGCAGCAGUGGGGAAUUUUGGACAAUGGGCGAAAGCCUGAUCCAGCCAUGCCGCGUGCAGGAUGAAGGCCUUCGGGUUGUAAACUGCUUUUGUUCGGAACGAAGAGACUCUGGUUAAUACCUGGGGUCCAUGACGGUACCGUAAGAAUAAGCACCGGCUAACUACGUGCCAGCCGCCGCGGUAAUAC